ACCUACCAGGUAAGGUCUAACCAACCGCCUGUACCGAGUCCUUGGAGCCGAAGCGGUAACGCCAGGUUUAAGCGUAGGAUAGGGAGCAACAGAGCCGAAACGCAAGUGAAGUGAUUGAGCUGGGAAAGUAUUAUGAGGUCGGAAGAGGUCGAUGUGUUAGUGUUCACAGCAGACAAUACCGUUAUAACCGUUACGGUGAGGGUAUAAUGGCGUCCCCCAGUCAGAGAGC
rnacentral:ncRNA from 1 species